UACUUGAAUGUUGUGACAAAGUAGGUGA
rnacentral:sRNA from 1 species